rnacentral:rRNA from 1 species
UACAGAGGGUGCAAGCGUUGUUCGGAAUUAUUGGGCGUAAAGCGCGUGUAGGCGGUUUUGCAAGUCGGGUGUGAAAGCCCUCAGCUCAACUGAGGAAGUGCGCCCGAAACUGCGGAUCUUGAGUACCGGAGAGGGUGGCGGAAUUCCCCAAGUAGAGGUGAAAUUCGUAGAUAUGGGGAGGAACACCGGUGGCGAAGGCGGCCACCUGGACGGAUACUGACGCUGAGACGCGAAAGCGUGGGUAGCAAACAGG